rnacentral:rRNA from 1 species
UGGCUCAGGAUGAACGCUAGCGACAGGCUUAACACAUGCAAGUCGAGGGGCAGCGGUGGUGAAGGCUUGCCUUUACCAGCCGGCGACCGGCGCACGGGUGAGUAACACGUAUGCAACCUGCCUGCCACAGCCGGAUAAUCGGGAGAAAUUCCGUCUAAUACGGCAUAAUGCAUCGACGGGACAUCCUGUUGGUGCCAAAGGUUGAUUCCGGUGGCGGAUGGGCAUGCGUCGCAUUAGUUAGUUGGCGGUGUAACGGACCACCAAGACGACGAUGCGUAGGGGUUCUGAGAGGAAGGUCCCCCACACUGGUACUGAGACACGGACCAGACUCCUACGGGAGGCAGCAGUGAGGAAUAUUGGUCAAUGGGCGGGAGCCUGAACCAGCCAAGUCGCGUGAGGGAUGACGGCCCUAUGGGUUGUAAACCUCUUUUGCCGGGGAGCAAAGUGCCGCACGUGUGCGGUUUGGAGAGUACCCGGAGAAAAAGCAUCGGCUAACUCCGUGCCAGCAGCCGCGGUAAUACGGAGGAUGCGAGCGUUAUCCGGAUUUAUUGGGUUUAAAGGGUGCGUAGGCGGACGCUUAAGUCAGCGGUAAAAUUGCGGGGCUCAACCUCGUCGAGCCGUUGAAACUGGGUGCCUUGAGUGGGCGAGAAAUACGCGGAAUGCGUGGUGUAGCGGUGAAAUGCAUAGAUAUCACGCAGAACUCCGAUUGCGAAGGCAGCGUACCGGCGCCCAACUGACGCUGAAGCACGAAGGCGUGGGUAUCGAACAGGAUUAGAUACCCUGGUAGUCCACGCAGUGAACGAUGAAUGCUAGUUGUCCGGGGCGAUUGAGUUCUGGGUGACACAGCGAAAGCGUUAAGCAUUCCACCUGGGGAGUACGCCGGCAACGGUGAAACUCAAAGGAAUUGACGGGGGCCCGCACAAGCGGAGGAACAUGUGGUUUAAUUCGAUGAUACGCGAGGAACCUUACCCGGGCUCAAACGCAGGAGAGAUGUUUUUGAAAGGAGGCAGCCAGCAAUGGUCUCCUGCGAGGUGCUGCAUGGUUGUCGUCAGCUCGUGCCGUGAGGUGUCGGCUUAAGUGCCAUAACGAGCGCAACCCCUACCUACAGUUGCCAUCGCGUGAUGGCGGGCACUCUGUGGGGACUGCCUGCGCAAGCAGUGAGGAAGGCGGGGAUGACGUCAAAUCAGCACGGCCCUUACGUCCGGGGCGACACACGUGUUACAAUGGCAGGUACAGCGGGAAGCCACCCGGCGACGGGGCGCGGAACCCGAAAACCUGUCUCAGUUCGGAUUGGAGUCUGCAACCCGACUCCAUGAAGCUGGAUUCGCUAGUAAUCGCGCAUCAGCCACGGCGCGGUGAAUACGUUCCCGGGCCUUGUACACACCGCCCGUCAAGCCAUGGAAGCACGGGGGUGCCUGAAGUGCGUGACCGCAAGGAGCGCCCUAGGGAAAACCGGUGACUGGAAUGAGUCGUAACAAGGUA